CAGUUCGGAUUGAAGGGCUGAAAUUCGCCUUCAUGAAGCCGGGAAUUGCUAGUAAUGGCAGGUCAGCAUACUGCCGUGAAUACGUUCCCGGGCCUUGUACACACCGCCCGUCACACCAUGAGAGUUGGGAAUACCCGAAGCCUGUGAGCUAACGUAAGAGGCAGCAGUCGAAGGUAGAAUCAAUGAUUGGGGUGAAGUCGUAACAAGGUACC
rnacentral:rRNA from 1 species